rnacentral:lncRNA from 1 species
CUCCCUCCCCAGAACAUGCUAGGCAGCCAGAUGCUGCCCGUGCGUGUGUUUGAGCUGGAAGAGGAAGUUCGUAGCCUGCGCAAGAUCAACCGGGACCUGUUUGACUUCUCCACACGCAUCAUCACACGGCCCUCUAAGUGAUGCACACUGGGCAGCUGCCACACUUGCUGCGGGGCUGUGAUCUUGUGUUUUAACAAAGGAUGGACUAAGACUUGUACGCCUCAGUUGUUCUGUCCCUGGCUGGGCUGGGGCUUGGUUGGGAGGCCUAGGGAUGGGAUGAGGUGAAUGGGGGGCUGACUGCAGACUCCCCAUUCACGGGGGCCAAUCAGGCAGCAGUCAUUCUUUCAUGGACGUCCAAAGCUCAGCCUCUACAUAGUGUCCUGGGGCUACUGCCAACCGUAACCUGAAAUCCAGCCCAAAUACAACAGAACCUUCCAGAAAGCUGCCUUCAA